ACGCUGGCGGCAUGCCUAACACAUGCAAGUCGAACGGUAACAGGUCUUCGGAUGCUGACGAGUGGCGGACGGGUGAGUAAUGCGUAGGAAUCUGUCUUUUAGUGGGGGACAACCCAGGGAAACUUGGGCUAAUACCGCAUGAGCCCUGAGGGGGAAAGCGGGGGAUCUUCGGACCUCGCGCUAAGAGAGGAGCCUACGUCCGAUUAGCUAGUUGGCGGGGUAAAGGCCCACCAAGGCGACGAUCGGUAGCUGGUCUGAGAGGACGACCAGCCACACUGGGACUGAGACACGGCCCAGACUCCUACGGGAGGCAGCAGUGGGGAAUUUUUCGCAAUGGGGGCAACCCUGACGAAGCAAUGCCGCGUGGAUGAAGAAGGCCUUCGGGUUGUAAAGUCCUUUCGUGGAGGACGAAAAGGCGGGUUCUAAUACAAUCUGCUGUUGACGUGAAUCCAAGAAGAAGCACCGGCUAACUCCGU
rnacentral:rRNA from 1 species